rnacentral:lncRNA from 1 species
UUAAAACUUAUACAUUGUUUAUUUCUGGAAUUUUCUGUUUAAUAUUUUGGGACCUCAGUUGACCAUGAGUAACACAAACCACAGAAUGCGAAACAGUGGAUAAGAGAGGGACUACUGUACAUACUUUCGCCUAAGACAGUUCUGUAUAUUCUUCUGUUAACGGGGUAGCAAAAGCAUAUAGAAAGGUUUUGGGGGGAUGCAGUGCAUUGCUCUUCUGUAAUGACAGUAAUUUACUUCAAGACAUUGCAGGAGAAGGGGUUAAAGGAGUAAAGGGGAGGAAGAGAAGGAUUCAUUUCAUGCCUACCUGUACAGAGACACUUUCUUGCUUUCUACUUUUUUUUUUUUUUUUUUUUUUGAGACGGAAUCUCACUCUGUGCCCAGGCUGGAGUGCAGUGGCACAAUCUCGAUCUCAACUCACUGCAACCUCUGUCUCCUGGGUUCAAGGUUGUAGUACAACAUGAUCAUGCUUGUGAAAAGCCACUGCAGUCCAGCCUGGACAACACAGCAAGACCUGCUUCUCUUAAAAACAAACAAACAAAAAACACCUCUUGGCUGGGCAUGGUGG